CGUUGGGGCGAUCGAUGAAAGAAAACAAAAAUCAGAUUUGACGAAUCGCUUCGGCUUCCACUUGAGGCGUUUGAUGCGCUACUUCCACUUUCCUACCGCCACACAGACCAUGAGCGACGGUGGUAGUCCGGUCUGCUGGCUGCCGCGCUAUCUUCAACAACUUUGGGCUUCUCCUGACCGUGUGGAGUCUACUACUGCGGUCGCGAUCUUAGCCCUACGCUGUUCUCUGCCGCGAUGGCGUUCCCAUCCCACUCUGCGAUGGAAGAAAAUCUCGUCACAAGGAGAGUGGCCGAUGUUGUCCGGCCUGACACUUCCAGAUAAGAGGUAGCUUUCCGUGUCAGUGUGAUUGGCGAUGAUGGAGGACCAGCACGCAGCAGCAGUGUGAUUGGCGACGACGAGGGCGGUGGGGAGGAAGUAGAUGAGAAGCCAUUCAAGAGGAUAUCGGCUGUAAUCUAGCAUCAAAAUCUUUACAAAUCAAAGCAGAAAGGGGUCUUAAGUUAUGGAGAUUAUUGCUGCAAAGGAUGUUAUUUUUGUUGUUGCUCAGUUGGCUCUUUUGUUGCUUUUAGCAGAGGAUGGGAUGAUGAUGAAUGUAUUAGUUUUUGAGAUUUGAGAUGGGGAUGUAAUGAAUUUGAAUUAUAUUAUUUUUGAAUCAUGUAUGAUGUUAAGAUGGGUAAUUGUGCUUUGUUGAAUGUAGUUUGCUUUUUUGUAAAACAUGAAUGUGAAUGUUGUUGAUAUUGAAUGUAUCAUUGUUGAA